UACGUAGGGCGCAAGCGUUAUCCGGAAUUAUUGGGCGUAAAGAGCUCGUAGGCGGUUUGUCGCGUCGGCCGUGAAAUCUCCACGCUUAACGUGGAGCGUGCGGUCGAUACGGGCAGACUUGAGUUCGGUAGGGGAGACUGGAAUUCCUGGUGUAGCGGUGAAAUGCGCAGAUAUCAGGAGGAACACCGGUGGCGAAGGCGGGUCUCUGGGCCGUAACUGACGCUGAGGAGCGAAAGCGUGGGGAGCGAACAGG
rnacentral:rRNA from 1 species